ensembl:lncRNA
UUUUUUAUUUUUCUUCCACGACUUUUACAGGCAAUUUUUCGACAUGCCUUAACUUUCUGACUUAUUACAAACAUUUCUUUCUUUAAACAACCAGUUAAUUUAUUUCAGGACAAGAAUUUACCAUAUAACACUCUUUUGAUAAAAAUUCACUUCUUUUUUUUUUCUUUUUUUCGAAGAUGAUAACCAUUCUUUUCCAAAGCGAACCUUUCUUUAUGUCUGUGGACUAGACUGUCUAAGUCCACAAGAAUAGAAGUUACUAUUGGCCGAGCGUGGCUCAAGCCUGUAAUCCCAGCACUUUGGGAGGCCGAGAUGGGUGGAUCACGAGGUCAGGAGAUCGAGACCAUCCUGGCUAACACGGUGAAACCCUGUUUCUACUAAAAAAUACAAAAAACUAGCCGGGUGAGGUGGUGGGCGUCUGUGGUCCCAGCUACUCGGGAGGCUGAGGCAGGAGAAUGGCAUAAACCCGGGAGGCAGAGCUUGCAUGAGCCAAGAAUGUGCCACUGCACUGCAGCCAGAGUGAGAUCAUCUUUUUUAAAAAAAAAAGUCAGUGAAACAAAGAACGGUUCUGUGUAAAGAUCGACAAAAUUAACCAACCUUUUUCUAGUAAGACUGACAAAAAGAAAAAAUAAAUUAUCAUGAUCAGGAUAAAACAGGGUAUUCUGUUUUACAGACCCUUACACCUUACACACACAUACAUACACACACAAUAAGGAAUACUAUAAACAAUUAUACACACAUAAAUUUGAAUCUUUGACAAAAUGGACAAAUUUCUCAGAAAACACACAACUGCCGGGCACAGUGGCUCACCCUUGUAACCCCAACACCUUGGGAGGCUGAGGCAGGACUGCUUCAGUCCAGUUCAAAACCAGCCUGGGCAAAAUGGUGAGACACCAUCUCUACAAAUAACUUAAAAAAAAAUUAGCCUGGCAUGGUGGUGUGUGGCUGUGGUCCCAGCUACUCCGGCGACUGAGACAGGAAGCUCACUUGAGAUCAGGAAUUUGAGGCUAUUGAGAGCCAUGACUGUACCACCACAGUUCAGACUGAAUGACAGACUGAGACUUUGACUCAAAACAAAACAAAAACCAACAACAGACACAGCACUUCAACCCAUCGAUAUAAAACACUUUAAAUUGUCCCGUAACUAUUCACAGAAUUAAAUGUAUAAUGCAAAAUUUUGACACCUAAAAAAAAAAACUCGACUCAAAAGAUACCAUCUAAAGAAAUAACAUCAAUUCUACCUAAUUCUAUAAAAAAUAGAAGGGAAUCUACCACAUAUCUUUAAGAACAUAAUCAGUUCUACAUAAUCCCUUUGAGAAAACAAGAGUUACAGCAAACACAUUCCUAAGAGGGAAUUCCAUAGCAAUGAAGGCACAUCAAAAAAACAAGGCCGAGUGCAGUGGCUCACACCUGGGUAUCACAGGUGUUAUGUUCUUGGGUAACAUAUAAAUUAGAACUUUUUGAGUUAUAUUCUUUUCCUCUAAACCACUUAGUGAUACUCUUUUAUGUUGCUCAGUGUUUUAGAAGUGCUUUCCUUUUUAUUGCUUGUGUUGUUUGUUUACGCCAUCUCAUACCCUUUAAACUACCUCUCUUGAUUUUCUCAUAUAUACUGUUAGAUCUGCCUGAUUGUAUUCAGAACAUAUCCAUAUAUGUAACUAUAUGGAUACACACACACAAAUUCUUCAUAAGUGACAUUGUGCACUGGUAGGUAUGUUAUUUGGUUGACUUUCUUACUAGAAAACGAACUAUUGAAGAUCAUCAAUUUAUAGGAGUUUCCAAUGCCUGUUUCAACAUAGCCAUCCCUAAAAUCAAGGUCCCAGGACUCUUUCCAGGAAUACUUAAAAAGUCACAAUUAUUUUCACAUGCAAACAUUAUCUGCCCUUUUCACCAUGCUGAUGUUUGCAUUGAAGAUGCAAAGGCAGUGGUGGUUGAGACUCCUGGCUUCCUACCACGAAUGGAUCAAGGCAGUAGUACCAAACUGAAGUCAUUUGUAAUCUUCAAGACCAUACAAGCUCCCCUGAAAGUAAAUCGCGCCGGGCGUGGUGGCUCACACCUGUAAUCCUAGCACUUUGGGA